rnacentral:rRNA from 1 species
AUUGAACGCUGGCGGCAGGCCUAACACAUGCAAGUCGAGCGUGCGGCGGACGGGUGAGUAAUGUCAGGGAAACUGCCUGAUGGAGGGGGAUAACUACUGGAAACGGCAGCUAAUACCGCAUACCAUCAGAUGUGCCCAGAUGGGAUUUGCUAGUAGGUGGGGUAACGGCUCACCUCGGCGCCGAUCCCUAGCUGGUCUGCGAGGAUGACCCGCCGCACUGGAAGUGAGAAACGGUCCAGACUCCUACGGGAGGCAGCAGUGGGGAAUCUGGCACAAUGGGCGCAAGCCUGAUGCAGCCAUGCCGCGUAUGUGAAGAAGGCCUUCGGGUUGUAAAGCACUUUCAGCGGGGAGGCGUUACCCGCAGAAGAAGCACCGGCAAACUCCGUGCCAGCAGCCGCGGUAAUUC